ensembl:lncRNA
UUCCCUAGGGAAUAUGACCACAAAGCGCUUAGUUCAGGCACAUGCUUAGUUCAGUCACAAUUUCUUUCACAUACUUUUAAUCCAUGGUUGGUUGAAUCUGCAGACAAUGAACCAGAAGAAAUGGGAGGCCACAUGUAUAGAGAAUUAAGGCUGGGAUGGGGAUGGGGGUGUGUGUGCGUAUCUUAUAUCCUGUGACCUUGCUAAACUCUAGGUUUUUGAAGAUUCUUUGGGACAAUCAUGUUGUCUGUCAAUGGAAACAGUUUUAUUUCUUCUUUCCCAAUCUUCUCCUCUUUUAUUUCCUUUUGUUGCCAUAUUAAUGCUGACCAGGAUUUUCUAGUAAAAUACUGAACUGGAGAGAGGUUAAGAGUAGACAUUCUUGCUUUGUUCUUGUUCAUGGAAGAAAACUUUCAUUCCUUCAUUAAGUAUGAUGUUAGCUGUAGUUUGUUUUGAUUAUGAUUUUUCCUUUUAUGAACAGUGGAAUUUAAUUUGCUUUUUUUUUUUUAGGAUUUAUGCAAUAUGUUCAUGAGGUAAAUUGGUCCAUAGUUUUCUUUUCCUUUGUCCUUCCUUUAUUGUUUACUGUUUGUCUGGUUUACAUAAUCAGGUUAAUUCUGGCUUCAUAAAGGAAGGUGGAAAGUGUUUCAUCACCUUCUACGUUCUGAUCCCCUGAACCGACUGCUUCCCGUGUCGUAGGUCUGCUUUUCCCACUAUUAACAGGUGGGGAAACAUCGCACUGCAGUCCAGCGGGUCGCUCGGCUCCGCGUCGGUCCCUAUUGCGGCCAUGAGGGAACUCCAGUCAGACACCAGGCCCCAAAGGAAAGGAUACUGGGAUGGGAGCAGGGCGAGUUACAGCCUGCUGCUAACAACAAUAGCACUUUCAGGAAAAAAGAAAAAACAAUAGCGCUUUCGAGCCAUGGUACUCCAUUCUUCUAAACCUCUUUAAGGUAGGUUUUCUUACAACUGAAGGAGGCACAGGGAGGGAAGAGCCCAGGUAUUCCAGCCCCAAGGGAGCCAGUCUGAGGCUGCCAAAGUCCAGCCCAAGCCUUGCAGUCAUGGGUUCUUCCAGAUCUACCUGAGUGCCUGACCUUACUUCUACAUCUGUGGAUUCAGCUCAUUAAUAGUGGCAAACCUGUAGGACUGUUCCAAGAUUAAUGCACCAAUUCCAGAACUCAGGAGGAGGCUGAGGCAGGAAGAUCCCCUUGAGUUAGAGACCAGCCUGGGCACACAGUGAGUUCGAGGCCAGCCUGAACUGCAUAGUGAGACCCGAUCUCAAAACAAACAAACAAACAAACAAACAAACAGAAGAUUAAUGUAUGUAAAGGAUUUAAAUUCUGUACACAGCACAUAGUGUUACCUAGAAGCCAAGUCCUCUGACACCAGCUCUCAUUCC